GUUGCUGUGCCUAGCAGCAGACCAAUAGUACGGUUCAGUUCCCUUGAAGUUGAAAGAGAUAACUCAAAAGAAAGGAAAUUCCAAACUAAUUAAACAUAAAGCCGUUUCAUUUAAACUAAGCAGGUCUGGAGGCACACUGCGGAAGUUUGGGACUGAAUCGACACUGAAGGAUAUCAUCAUGAAGCAAACACUGUUAACAUUGUUGGUGGUCGUAUCUCUAACAAUCUGUUGGUUUGUGUCAAUGUACGCAGAAGCAAAACGCUAUGAAGACCCUACUCCAGUAUGUUCUGCUAGAUUUCAGUCCUGCCUCAACCGCCCGUGCUGUAUUCCUUACGACUGCAAUAGCGAUAAUAAAUGUAUUUGAAACGAAGAAAAAAAGAGUACCUGAAACCGACUUUAUCUUAUCUCGUCACUUCCAAAACCUUCAAGAGGUCACAGUAUAUUCGGAGAGAGUAUUAUUUUUAUUAAAUAACUCUGGUUUAAUUAUAUGCUUUCUAAAUGGAUCUGUUAUGUCUGUUAAUGAACUAAUAUUAAGCGUAAUUUUGUCUUUAAUCAACGUUUUAUGCUUUUUAUUAAUAAUACAAAGUUUCUGAAUAAUUUUUCUUAAGAAGUUUGGUUAACACUGGCCUGUAUACAUUUUUAUGACAAAUAAAAUUGUGUUUAGCCUUCA